CCUACGGGAGGCAGCAGUGGGGAAUCUUGCGCAAUGGGCGAAAGCCUGACGCAGCAACGCCGCGUGCGGGAAGAAGGCUUUCGGGCUGUAAACCGCUUUCAGCAGGAACGAAAAUGACGGUACCUGCAGAAGAAGGAGCGGCCAACUAUGUGCCAGCAGCCGCGGUGAUACAUAGGCUUCAAGCGUUGUCCGGAUUUAUUGGGCGUAAAGAGUUCGUAGGCGGUCGAGUAAGUCGGGUGUGAAAAUUCUGGGCUCAACCCAGAGACGCACCCGAUACUGCUUGACUUGAGUUCGAUAGGGGAGUGGGGAAUUCCUAGUGUAGCGGUGAAAUGCGCAGAUAUUAGGAGGAACACCGGUGGCGAAGGCGCCACUCUGGAUCGAUACUGACGCUGAGGAACGAAAGCAUGGGUAGCAAACAGGAUUAGAUACCCUGGUAGUCCAUGCCGUAAACGGUGGGCACUAGGUGUGGGGUUUCCUAUUUAACGGAAAUCCGNGCCGUCGCUAACGCAUUAAGUGCCCCGCUGGGGNGUACGUCGCAGACAACACAANAGAGUAGACGGCGNGAGACGNGCCGACGACGACGACGAGGGAGAGG
rnacentral:rRNA from 1 species